rnacentral:rRNA from 1 species
UACGUAGGGGGCGAGCGUUGUCCGGAUUUACUGGGCGUAAAGCGCGCGUAGGCGGCCCUGUAAGUCCGUUGUGAAAGUCAAAGGCUCAACCUUUGAAAGCCGAUGGAUACUGCAGGGCUAGAGUCCGGAAGAGGCGAGUGGAAUUCCUGGUGUAGCGGUGGAAUGCGCAGAUAUCAGGAGGAACACCAAUAGCGAAGGCAGCUCGCUGGGACGGUACUGACGCUAAGGCGCGAAAGCGUGGGGAGCGAACAGG